CACGGCUGCUGCACGAACUCAUCUGGGGGGCAGAGCGAGGGAGCGAGGGGUGUUAGAGGAGGAGAGGAAAUGCACGUCAAAAACUGAAGAGUCAAAAAUGUGACGUGUGUGUCGUCAGGUAUGGAAUGAAAACUAGAAAAAUCUAUUUCUAAGAAGAGAAAGUACAUCUGUUCACAAUAACACCCGAUUCUAAGAAGUGACUAUUAUUGGACAAGAAGUGUUAGACACUGACAAGGUGCGAGACAGGGGUUGCAGAGAAGUCACUCACGAGUCAUGCAAAGGUCACAUAUGUAUGCGGUUGUGAAUCGUGCAGCAGCCCCAGAAGUGGCCAUUACUGUUGCUGACACAGGGACUGGAGGACAAGAAGAGAAGACAGGGGUGAGACCAGAGGUUGGCUCAAGAAGCGGCGGGGAAGAGUUUGAGCCAGUGUGAAUGAGAGAGUCUGAAGUAGAGUCGCUGUUAAAUCAAAAACAACUCACUGAAAUGACACAUAAGUGAAGGCACAGAGGGGUGGGGGGUAAAGAGCAGGGAGCAGAGAGGAGUGGGACUCAGGGAUGAACAAUCACACCUUCCAGCAGUUGGAGGAUGUGCCAAAGUGGUCAGGAGCGAAUGUGAAUCAAUUGGAGUUGCAACCCUGCAGAAAUGAGUGGAUGUGCCUGAGUGGCUCCUCCAGACUUGUUCAGCACCGCGGACAGCUCCCUCAUCUCUCUCACAGACUGCCAGUCAAACAGCAAACACAACAACCACCCCACAGACCAAAUACAUCAGCUGGUUUAUCGUGGAUUUGGACCAACGUGAGGGGAACAAAUUCGCCUCCUUUCUACUCAAAUCACCGCCCCCACCCCCCUCUAAAAAAAUCCUCUCCAGAACUGCUGCAGUUUUUGGAGAAAUAGCCCUUGUAGAUUUGGGAUUGAGAUUGAGUGGAAAAAAAAAAUCAGUUUCCCUGUUAGAUUUGUGAUAACAAUCCCAUUUUAGCGCUGUGAGAUUGGCUCCUCAGUUCCCUCACCCAGAAAGUAAUGAGCCAAUUGAAUUGGUUAGAUAGGAGCCAUGAGGGGGACAAAAGGUUUAAUUCUCUGUAAUCUGUCACAAUCUACAGACUGACAUCACCUCUCUGCCUGUCAGGAAAGAGAGACACCCAGAGAAAGAGGGAGUGACGGAGGAGAGGAGAGGACAUGGAGAUGUGAAGGAAGCAGAGAGAGGGGGAUGAAAACUAUGUUUGCACAGUCUUUAAGGCGGGAACAGAAAGACCUUGGCCCAAAAAAUGGAGGGAGUACCCAACAUGGACGCGCAUGCACGAACGGGGACGCGCCUACACCUGGGCUAAAACUAACCAGCCUUGAUUGUGCAGCGUAUCCAAAAAAAAAAAAAAAAAAAAAAAAGGGACUGCUGCUUGAAAGGGACGAUGGAUUCACUCAGCAGAAAAUAAAUAAAUGACUUCAUAACGACUAAACGGCUGAUAUCGUGACUCAGUGGGUGGGUUUGGUUUGCUCAUGAUUUCUGCGCUGCCUGCACACACUCACAAAACUCGCAGCGUUUUCACGGAGCCGAGCGGGUAGUUACAACAUGCACAGUUUCCUGUUCAUCACAUGUAUGUAAAACAGCAUCAGCAUCCUGGCGGAGGUCUGAAUGAAGCAGUGAUGUGCGCAUAGGAUUGUUUGCACCCCCACCAACCCCCCCACUCCCCACCCCCCUCACACACACUCACACGCGGAGUUUGGAGAUGAUAAACAGAGCAGGGAACAUGUGAGCGACUCAGACGUACAAUUGGGAUGAUAUUAAGAACAAAUAAUAACAAUAAAAACUGUUUAACGGUUUGAUUUCAGGCAACAUUUGACUGUGAUUUUUUUUAAUCUGUGGUCUCUCAGCUGAAGAUGAGACGCGAACACGACAUGAGGACACGUUAGGAAUGCUGCUCUUUUCAAAGCUGUCAUCACACACACACACACACACACACACGUAUAUGUAUAUACAUCUAAAAUGACUAAGUCAGGCUGAAAAGGCGUCGUCAUCACAAUUACUGCCAAAAAACACACACAUACACACACAGAGAGAAGUGUUAUUCAA